GUUAGGAAUAUUGGACAAUGGGCGCAAGCCUGAUCCAGCCAUGCCGCGUGAGUGAUGAAGGCCUUCGGGUUGUAAAGCUCUUUAGCCGAUGAUUAUAAUGACUGUAGUCGGAAAAUAAGCCCCGGCUAACUUCGUGCCAGCAGCCGCGGUAAUACGAAGGGGGCGAGCGUUAUUCGGAAUCACUGGGCGUAAAGCGUGCGUAGGCGGCUUUGCAAGUUGGGAGUGAAAGCCCAGGGCUCAACCCUGGAAUUGCUCUCAAAACUGCAAGGCUAGAAUUCGGGAGAGGAUAGCGGAAUUGUCAGUGUAGCAGUGAAAUGCGUAGAUAUUGACAGGAACACCAGUGGCGUAAGCGGCUAUCUGGACCGAUAUUGACGCUGAGGCACGAAAGCGUGGGGAUCAAACAGGAUUAGAAACCCUUGUAGUCC
rnacentral:rRNA from 1 species